CCCUGCCCCGGUUCCACUAAUGCUCACUUCACAGUUACAGUGCUCUCUGGACCCCACCCGGCGGUGGCGCAACAUACACCCAACACGCGCGCCCACCCUCUCCUUCCUUGCCCUCCCCACGCAGGGGUCCCACCGCCGGGCAAAGCACCGAGCAAGCUGCGCUCACCUUGCUUGACACACUUGAGCCGGAGGGGGUCCUUGCAGUGCUUGAUCACGGCUAGAACGUCCCUGAUGGUGAGCCCCGCCACGGGGGUCUCGUUCACCUCCAGCAGCAGCUCCUCGGAAACCAACUUGCUGCCGCUUUCAUAGGCCACCUUGCCAGGCUUCACCUCCCCCAGGUAGGGGAACUGUCCGUUUUCGGCUCCCCCCUUCAGUUCAAAGCCCAGCUGGCCCUCCGGGUUCCUGCCAAUGACACUCUCGUGGACUUUGCUAGUCCAGUGGCUUUUCUUUUUCAAGCUUUUGGACAUGGCAGUAGGGUCUUCUCACUAUCUGCCUUUUUAAGCUUAAAAACUCCCAGUGGAGACUCAAGAAAGGAUUCUCGUCUUGAUGUUAUUCAAGCAUGAAGACAAAGUCUAGAAGAAGGAAGAAGUAUAAGAAGGACCCAGAUUCUCUCCCUCCACUCCUCAUGUUUUCAAGAUAACUAUUAUAAAGUUAAGUUUCAGAGAUGGACUUCUUUUUCCUGACUAUAAAUGCAUCACAGUUCAAACCAUGCCUGUUAAAUCCCUAAGCAGUCCAUUUAAGCAAAUUUAAAGGACUCACAGAAACCUAAUGUUGCCCAUAAAAUUGCAGAAAAAAAAAUUAGAGUGCUUUUUUGUUGUAGUGGUAGAGCUGACCAUUUUUAAUUUCUAGACUUCGGAGUAAAUAUAAAUGCUUGCUUCAACUCCUAUCAUUUUCUCAUAUACAAAUGUAUAAAUACUCCAUUAAUAUGGUAUAGUGACUCAUUUAUUUUAAACAACAUAAUGAGAGAUUAGAUUUUGUGUGACUCUUUUCUUUUUCAGAUGACAAAAUAUCCCAGUGAAGACAGAUUUUAUAGAGCUAAGCCUUGUCUGCCUGUCCUCUUCCAGAUUAUCAAGAGCCAUUAUUACCCAGGAGAAGCAAUAUUACUGUUCCACCAAUGAGUAGCCUAUGUCCCUAGAUUGCAUUCUUUGUUCAGUGCCGUUGCUGAUGCAGAUUUUUUUCUGUUGAAAAUGGUCACUUUAAACAUCACAAAUCUAUGCCCCGAAUACUCUUCCUCAGCUGUCCUUUAAAUUGAAAGAUAAAAAGUCAGUGAGUCAAAGCAAUUCUCAAAAAGAAGGGAAAAUUGUUUCUAAAGACUAUUCAUUCUGAGAGGGCUUUAUAUACUCACCUGUCAGGUAUGAGUAGCAGCUUCCUGUAUCUAGUACAGACAGCACAUUUUGAUGGCCAAAAUUUGAAUAGCCAGUAUUUCCUGAGAUAAAUUUACUUUUAAUGGUAGUUAGGAACAUUGCCUUCUUAGGUUUUAUUAUUCUUUCUAUACUCACUGUCACCAGACACUGGGAUAAUUUAGCUGUCCAUAUUAACAGAGGGUUUGGGAAAAUUGGUGCAUGAAAACAUACAAUGUGAUGUCAACUGUAGGCAAUGUUUGGGAAAUAUAGAAGAAUAAUAAAUACUGCUUAAAGAGAGAGAAAAAAGGCUUUAAUCAAAGAGAGCCCAAAUAAUCUAAAUAAAGUCUCAUGCUGGAAGGCAGUGAACCAAACAGUAGACUAAAAGUCUUUAUUUUCAUUUUUAUUUAAAUUUUUCCAUUUACAUGCCAACCCCAGUUCCCCAUCACUCCCCCAUACCCCCACAUCCCACCCCCGUUGUCCACUGCUCAAAGGCCAUUCCCUAAGAUUCUUUCUUACUGGAACAAGGUCAGCACAGCGCUUGUUCUGAGCACUGUGUUUGUGCUUCACCUUCUGCUCAAACCUACCUAGGGUCUUCUAUCAGCAGCGAGAGACACCUGCAGAAACCCACAUCCCUCUAACAGGAUCAAGCAGUUCUUGUCCAACGAUGUGCACACAGAGCACUCUUGCAGCAAACAGCACCUACCCUGACUAGAGGAAGCAGAAGCAAACAAACACACUAAUGGAAGAGAUUCACUGUUUUAGGAGUAAGGCUAACUACCAUCAGACACUUCUUGAAAUUAUUCUAAGAUACAGAAUAAGUUAUUUUAAAUUAUCCAGAGCAAAUAAAUCUAAUUAAAAUAUUUUAUAAUACAGAUGUCCCCAGAAACCUCUUAUAAUGUUAAGAAUAAAAGGAAAAAAAAAAAGGUCUUGCUAAUAUCUGCACUGCAAAUUAUGAAUUCCACAUAGAGGAUAGAAAUACCAAGCAAAGACCAAAGAGAUAGAAAAUUUGAGGAUGUUUUUAAAAUUCAACUUUUAGUGAUGAUUAUUUUGGUACACCUGAAGUCCUAGUACUUGGAGGCUAGUGCAGGAGUAUUAUGUAUUUCAAGCCCAUCAUGACUGUAAUGAUAGAAUAUAAGGAUAAACUAAUCAACAAAAAUCUAGGUAAAUGAAAUUAAGUUCCUGUAAUAUUAAUAUUAGGAGAUAACAGAAAAAUUAUCCUACAGAUUUAUUAUUCCAUUUUUGUUUCUGUGAGUGACAAGAUGGGAUAUGAGUGGUACACAUCUAAACUACCAUGCAUGCCCUAUAUUCACUUAUGAAAGAUCUGUGGGUGUGUAAAUGGGUUGGCUAAAUACAAUGUAUUUCCUUUUAUAUAAAGUGUAGUUAGAAGUUACAGUUCCUCAUAUGCUAAAGUUAAAAAGUUAUAUGAUCAAUAUGAUCAUGUACAUCAUUAAAGAAUGCAAACUAAGUCAUAAGCAAAAUUUUGAAUAUUUUUUCUUUUAAGACUAUCAUUGAAUAAAGCAACAAAAAACACAUAGCAUACAUUGUAAAUUACUAAACACAAAGAUGAAUGUGAAAUAGUAGAAAAGCUAACAACUUAAUGAGAAGUCAGUAAACAUUUCAUUUUUACAGUUAACAGAUGUGCCUUCAGUACCAACAAGCAAAAGCUACCACACCAGGAGGAAGAACCAAAGGAUUUACAUAUUGAGAAGUGCAAAGACAAAGUAAUCAUCUGGAAGCAUGAAACACUCUGGUACCUUGACCUUAAUCUUGGACUUCCCGGUCUCCAUAACUGUAAGAAAUGAACAUUGAGUCUGAUGCCCCGGGCAGGCACCUAGUGUAUUCAACUCUCUUCCUGAACUGACUACUGCACAAGAGAAGGAGAUGGAGGUGAAGGUGAAGAAUUGCUGAGGGGAAAUAAAAGGAGAAGGUAGUUGGUUUGAACACUACUCUGCAAAUAUGGGUUUCCUGCAACUUUUGCCUCAAACCCACACCUACACUGCAUGCAUAUAUGACUGCAGACCAGAAGAGGGCAC